rnacentral:rRNA from 1 species
UAUGCUUAACACAUGCAAGUCGAACGGACUCAGGGAGCUUGCUCCCGAAAGUUAGUGGCAGACGGGUGAGUAACGCGUGGGAAUCUGCCUAUCAGUACGGGAUAACAUUUGGAAACAAAUGCUAAUACCGCAUACGCUCUUCGGAGGAAAGAUUUAUCGCUGAUAGAUGAGCCCGCGUAAGAUUAGGUAGUUGGUAGGGUAAUGGCCUACCAAGCCGACGAUGUUUAGCUGGUUUGAGAGGAUGAUCAGACACACUGGGACUGAGACACGGCCCAGACUCCUACGGGAGGCAGCAGUGGGGAAUAUUGGACAAUGGGCGAAAGCCUGAUCCAGCAAUACCGCGUGAGUGAUGAAGGCCUUAGGGUUGUAAAGCUCUUUCAGUUGGAAAGAUAAUGACGGUACCAACAGAAGAAGCACCGGCUAACUACGUGCCAGCCGCCGCAGUAA